AUGCUCCCGCCCGCCGGGGCUCGCCUUAGCCGGGCGGGCGGGCGGUCGGGCGUGCGCGUGCGCGUGCGCGUGCGGCGCUCGGAGAACCAGCCGUGGGAACCGGGGAGCGGAGCCGGUGCCAAGCCGGCCGCCCAGGCCUCACGUCUGACACGAACGGCGUGCGACCAGGCGGCCCGACGAGCCCCAGCCAAUCGGCGCCUCGCUGCGGGAGGCCCCACCCACCGCGCCCUCGCGCGUCCAAUCGGCGGGACCCGGCGCGCCGGCCGUUGGCUUCUGAUUGGCUGGGGCGAGCCGCGUCCGGAGCCGGGCGAAGCUGUGGGCUCGCUGGCACUCGGGGUGGCGGCCAGGAGCCGGUGGGACUGCUGGGGCGCCGAGCGUUGCGCAGGAGGAAGGCCGUGGCGGAGUGCGAACGCCCCCGACGAGGGACGGAGGCUCGGAGAUGGCGAAGCUCGGCUGGAGUCAGGUUGCCAUGCUUUCGGAAAGGGCUGUCCGUAGUGAUUACCCGACCUUACAGAAUGAUAAAUAGGUGUUCAGCAACUAAGUUUGAGUACUUGCUUAUUGGUGACUUAGAAAUAUGUUCUACUCCCUGACAGAUAUAGGGCAGUCCCUGGGUGACUGGAUGAUAAAAGAAAAUGCAGCGGAGGAGGAAUAUUUUCAAAUUGAAACUGGGAUUGUUAGCUAAUUUAUGUCUUCACUGGAGAAAGCCCAUUUAACUUGGCAUGACUUUCACAGCUUUUACAGUUCAGAGACAGUAUUGGGGGCUUCUGUUGGGAAUGUAUUUUUAUAUUUUCAGUUCAAAUUUCCACCUGUAACAUAAAAGUGUUGGCUUAAUAAUAAGUAUAUUGUCAAUCUAAAAGAACCGUGGACUGUGUGGGGAAAGCCGUAUUUUCUUCCAGAGAUGUACUCCUGGCGUAGAACAAUUCACACAAUCCUUCGAACCCUUCUUUUCUAUCUGUAAAAUAAACGUACUUCUCACCGUCUGAUUCA
rnacentral:lncRNA from 1 species